AGGCUCUACCACAUGGCUGUGCCAGUAGUUUAGGAAUUAUACAUAAAGGUGAUCGAAUUCAAGCAGUAGAUGGUCAUAAUGUAAUGAACCUGCAAUAUUCAUAUGCUUUACAAUUGCUACAAAACGCCGGCUCUAGCAUGGAGUUGGUUCUAGCGCAGAAAAACCGUGGACAAAAAGUAGUUCAACAUUCAAAUGAAUUCAACUAUACUCCUUGCGAAACAAUAGGUAUUGACUUGUUAGCUGCUAUUGUUCAGAAGCCAAUUGAAGAGUCGUAUCUUCGAGUAAUCAGAUUUGAAACUGAGACCGAAACAGAUGAAAAACUCAUAAAUAUAACUCUGCCAAGAAAUAGCAAUAGGAAAGUCAAAGAACUUCCAAUCGAAGAAAUUAAAAGCUUGUAUCUCUAGCUGCUUGUGUAGAGCAGUUUGGAACUUGGACUUUGUGCCUCCAAAAUUGAAUUCGUGAUUUAGAGGUGGAUUUUUCGGUGCAAAAACAAUAAACUAUUACGCCUAACGGCAUGGUGUUCGAAGUGCAAGAAAGUCUGCGGACAGUUUUAGAGUGGAUUGAACAUUUCUAAAGUUUUAGAUUAUCCAUUGAAAUUAUUAUUGUAUAACAUAUCAGCUAAUGAUUUAUAAUUUUUUAUAUCAAGACAAAUGGGUAGAGGCUAUUUAUCACAGAGAAACUAUUCAACUCUCGACAAUGAGAAGAAAUUUGGAGUUUAGGGCCCAAUGUCAAUAAUAAUCUGCAAGUGUUGUCUUAGUUGAAUAAUAUAAUUAUUAUGAAUAUGUACAUAUUUAAAAGCUGAUAAUAACUAUGUGCCUAAAUAAAAGGGAAUGAAUACAGUCUUUAAAAUCCGCUUGGAAUAUAUUUCAUACUAGUAGAACGAUGUGAGAAUUAUGUUGAAUAGUAAAGAAUGAUGAUAAUCUUAAUAGCCAGAGAGAAGUGUUCUUGUGAAGGUUUUUAAUAUUAUUGUACAAACCAACAGUUCUCUAAUGAUAUCAACUACAUGCAAAUAAUAUCAUAACAGUCAUUGUUAGUGAUAGUAAGACAAUAAAAUGAUGAAUCUUGGGCCACAGUUGAUGAUUCUGAUAUUUUUUCUUUUAAAAAUAUUAAAUAAAUAUUACAUCUAAACGGUAUAAACACUAAUGAUAACGUAGGCCUACAAGAGAGCAUUAUUAAUAAUUUGUUGUUUGUCAUGAAUAUUAUGUGUGCAAGACUGCAAGAUUACUGGAUUAUAUACUGGAAUCGCAACAAUAAAAUGUUCGUCAGUUUUCAUCCAAUGGAAUA